rnacentral:misc_RNA from 1 species
AGAGAGAGAGAGAGAAAAGGAGAGUGAGAAUUAAAUUGGGUAGCAGAAGACUGGCUAUGGCGGCGUUGCAGAGAGAGGGAUGAGCAGCAGAUGCAGCAGCGGCAGUUGUAAUUCUGUGUCUUGGAAUUAAAUGAGUCAUCUCAAUUCCACCACUGUCAACUAAAAAGAAACCAAAGGAAAGGAAGGAGGAGAGAACGGAAUUGAAAGCGCGAUUGACGCUGCUUCUGAGCUCCUCCACCCUCCAAAAGUUGCUGAAUUACUAUUACUUCGUUCUGGCAGGCGAAAUUACCGACCACCGCGGUCGCCACCAAGAACAUCAACAACAAAAAGCAUAACUAAUCAGCAACUACGCUGUUGUUUAGAGAACGGAUAGAGUGAGGAGAGACGGAAUCACGGACACAAUACACGUAUACAACACAAAAAAUACGAAGAAAUAAAUUGUAAGAAUAAUUCUCUCUUCCACUCAAAACCCAUAAUUCCAGAAUUUCUAAAGACUACAUUUCACUUCAGGGCUCUAUUCACUAGUCAAAAAACCCAGAGAGCCAGUAGCUUCUGAUAUGGAUUUUCUCUCACAAUUGAGGAUUGGGUCAGGUUUAGAACAAUGGCUGGGCUGUUCUCAUUAGGAGGUGGUGGUGGGGGAAGUAACCAAGACGACCAGCAUAACAACCCGCCAAGUGAAAUCCCACAAGAAGGCUGGUUCUGGUACAAAAACGAAGACAUUCCUUACAAGGGUUUUGAGCUAUGGCAACAGCAAGAAUUUCUCCACCAACGCCACCAAAAUCCACAGCAAGAUCUUUACUCUUCAGCUGCUGGGUUAGGGGUGGGCCCCGGCAGGAGCUCAAUCAACUUCUCUGAUGAGUCUUCGUCGAGAUCAGCCUUCAUGAUGAUGAGGUCCAGCAGUGGAGGAGGAGGCAUGAGCUGCCAAGAUUGCGGCAACCAAGCCAGGAAAGAUUGUGUAUACAUGCGGUGUAGAACUUGUUGCAAGAGCCGAGGAUUCGACUGCCAAACCCAUGUCAAAAGCACAUGGGUUCCUGCUUCUAAACGCCGAGAGAGGCAACAACAGCGCUCUGCCUUGCAGCAACAGCAGCAGCACCUUCAACUCCGCGGAGAGAAUCCCAAAAGACUCAGAGAGAAUCCAAGCUCCUCAUCCUCUCUUGCGUGCACUCGCUUACCCACCAACGCCUCAGGUACAGUUGCUUCAUAUAUUUCUUUACUUUUCUUUCCCGAACAACUCAGAGUUCCAGUGAUUGACUCUUCAAAAGAAUUCAGAGGCACAUCAUCAGAGUAUCUAGAAAGAAAAGAGAUAGACCAUAUCUAUUGCGUGUAAUGAAAUCGACUUCCGUAGUAAACCCAUCAGCUUUUUUUCUUUUUUUUUCCCCCCUUUUCCUAAUACUAUUUUCUAGUAUUCCUGACGAGUGAAUUGACAGGGAAGAAACUAUUUCGUCCUCUUUGCGAGCGAGUGUGUGUAUUUUUCUGGAUAUCUGUGUAUAUGCUUUUUUGUGCCAUUUCAUAUUACGUAAAAUAAUUUAAUAAAAAUCCCAUUUCUUAUCUAUCUAUGCUUGUUUAAUCUGAGCUGAUCUUUCUUUUAACAGUUUUAGGGUUAGAACUGGGGAAUUUCCCAGCAGAAGUUAGUUCUCCCGCUGUAUUUCGCUGCGUAAGAGUGAGUGGCAUUGACGAACAUGAUGAUCAAUACGCUUAUCAAACUGCUGUCAACAUUGGAGGUCAUUUUUUUAAGGGUAUUCUCUAUGAUCAUGGCCCUGAAAGCACCUAUAUGUCAGCUGCUGAAACCUCCUCCGGUGGAGCUAGUGGUGUAGCUCAACCGCUUAACUUAAUUACAGCUGGUACUGCUACCGCAUCCGCUGCAAUCUCCCCCACCGGCGCCGGUGGAGGCGUAACGUCUGCUUCAUCUAGUGCAGCAGCAUCAGCGUUUAUGGAUCCUUCCUCUCUCUACCCAAUUCCUCUCAACACUUUCAUUGCUGGUACGCCAUUCUUCCCAAACCCAAGAUCAUGAAAUGAAACCACAUCAUUUCAUUGUCAUUGUCUCUUCCAUAUUUCCACCUUUUACACCGUCUAUUGGCAAGUAUUUUUGACAAAAAAAAAAUUGGCAAGUAUUUGAUAUUGAUGAUGAUAAAUGCAGCGGUAGAGAAGUACAUUUGACACUUUCAUUGAAAUACAACUACCUAAACCGAGGGGGAAAAAACAAAGGAGAGAAGAAAACAAGAAAAAAAAAAAAGAUUGAACUGAGAGGAAAUAAGAAACAUGCCUGUUAGUUGUUCUUGUGCAAAUUUCAAUGCUUCAGUUUAAGUUAUUCUUCUCUUUCUUCUUUAUCUCUCGAUUUUUUUUUUCUUUCUUGAUUAUUUUGUGUAAUGUAAUAUGUGGCUGUUUGUUGUUCUUGUUUAUUAUAUUAUAUGUUUGUCUUCUGGGGUUGAAUUUGCAUUGCACUAAUGACUACUAGUGCAUAUUGGACUUGGGAAGCUGCCUUUUCCCUG